GACGAACGCUGGCGGCGUGCUUAACACAUGCAAGUCGAACGGAAAGGCCCUGCUUUUGUGGGGUGCUCGAGUGGCGAACGGGUGAGUAACACGUGAGUAACCUGCCCUUGACUUUGGGAUGACUUCAGGAAACUGGGGCUAAUACCGGAUAGGAGUUCCUGCUGCAUGGUGGGGGUUGGAAAGUUUCGGCGGUUGGGGAUGGACUCGCGGCUUAUCAGCUUGUUGGUGGGGUAGUGGCUUACCAAGGCUUUGACGGGUAGCCGGCCUGAGAGGGUGACCGGCCACAUUGGGACUGAGAUACGGCCCAGACUCCUACGGGAGGCAGCAGUGGGGAAUAUUGCACAAUGGGCGGAAGCCUGAUGCAGCAACGCCGCGUGCGGGAUGACGGCCUUCGGGUUGUAAACCGCUUUCGCCUGUGACGAAGCGUGAGUGACGGUAAUGGGUAAAGAAGCACCGGCUAACUACGUG
rnacentral:rRNA from 1 species